rnacentral:rRNA from 1 species
AAUCAACGCUGGCGGCGCGCCUAACACAUGCAAGUCGAACGAGAAAGCCGCAAGGCAAGUAAAGUGGCGUACGGGUGAGUAACACGUGGAUGAUCUGCCUUUUAGUGGGGAAUACCUCUGGGAAACCGGAGACAAUACCGCAUAAUCCCGAGAGGGGAAAGCAGCAAUGCGCUGAAAGAGGAGUCCGCGGUCGAUUAGUUAGUUGGCAGGGUAAAAGCCUACCAAGACUGUGANCGAUAGCCGGCCUGAGAGGGCACACGGCCACACUGGCACUGAAACACGGGCCAGACUCCUACGGGAGGCAGCAGUGGGGAAUCUUGCACAAUGGGGGAAACCCUGAUGCAGCGACGCCGCGUGAGCGAUGAAGCCCUUCGGGUGUAAAGCUCUUUCGUCAGGGAAGAUAGUGACGGUACCUGGAGAAGCAGCUGC